ACAUUAUAGGUUGAUAUAUAUGUGUUCUAUGCUGGCCAAAGUCAGGAUCCUAUUUGUCUAUGUGUUUAUCUUUGCCCAGAUAUGGUAAACGAUCCAGCGAUCAUGAAGGGUGUGGAGAUCCAGAUGCUAAUUUGGACUGCUACACAUGAAAAGAAGGUAUCUUCAAUGGACGAGAUCAAGGAGGCCAUGAAAAGUAGCCAUGACAAAUCUUGACCACUUUUUGAUCUUGCUGGCAAUCCUCUUCUUGCUCCACUGAUGUCCUUCUUCCAAGAACACCUUAUUAUUUUAUGCUGCCUAUCUUAUCUCUUCUUCAAAUAUCAGAAUAAAUCAAGAUUCAUAUUGCAA
rnacentral:lncRNA from 11 species